UACGAAGGGGGCUAGCGUUGUUCGGAAUUACUGGGCGUAAAGGGCGCGUAGGCGGUUUGUCGCGUCGGGAGUGAAAAUCCAGGGCUUAACUCUGGACUGGCUUUCGAUACGGGCAGACUAGAGGUAUGCAGGGGAGAACGGAAUUCCUGGUGUAGCGGUGAAAUGCGCAGAUAUCAGGAGGAACACCGGUGGCGAAGGCGGUUCUCUGGGCAUUACCUGACGCUGAGGAGCGAAAGUGUGGGGAGCGAACAGG
rnacentral:rRNA from 1 species